rnacentral:rRNA from 1 species
GAUGAACGCUGGCGGCGUGCCUAAUACAUGCAAGUCGAGCGAACAGAUGAGGAGCUUGCUCCUCUGACGUUAGCGGCGGACGGGUGAGUAACACGUGGAUAACCUACCUAUAAGACUGGGAUAACUUCGGGAAACCGGAGCUAAUACCGGAUAAUAUAUUGAACCGCAUGGUUCAAUAGUGAAAGACGGUUUUGCUGUCACUUAUAGAUGGAUCCGCGCCGCAUUAGCUAGUUGGUAAGGUAACGGCUUACCAAGGCAACGAUGCGUAGCCGACCUGAGAGGGUGAUCGGCCACACUGGAACUGAGACACGGUCCAGACUCCUACGGGAGGCAGCAGUAGGGAAUCUUCCGCAAUGGGCGAAAGCCUGACGGAGCAACGCCGCGUGAGUGAUGAAGGUCUUCGGAUCGUAAAACUCUGUUAUUAGGGAAGAACAAAUGUGUAAGUAACUAUGCACGUCUUGACGGUACCUAAUCAUAAAGCCACGGCUAACUACGUG